AUUAGAAAUAUAAUCUUAAUGACUGUCACGUUUAUGGUCGGUUUUUGUAUUGUUUUCCCUGUGUUCCUGGCCUCCUGUUUCUUUAUGCCCGUAUUUGGUCCUUCUGGUUCCUGUCCCCAUUUAGUUCCAUUUGUUCCAGGUGUUCCUAGUUAUUAGUUAUCCUCCUCACCUGUCUGCCCCUCGUUAUCUGCCCUAUUUGAGUUCUAGCCCGUUCUGUUCUCCCUGGUCUGGAAUUGUUGAUGUCAACUCUUGCUAAG